rnacentral:lncRNA from 1 species
GCAUCCUGGGACGUGCGGGCGGUGCAUGAGGGAGAUGUGGUCCGCGUCGAGCUUCUCACGCCUACCUCGGGAAGCGCUGGAAACUCUUCCAGGGCCCUCCAGGUGGGCCAGGGCCUCCGAACAGCCCAGAAGUCCGACCACGGAGCCUUCGUGCCGUGCCCCGCCCCCGGCGUGCACUCGGCGGGGACCGCCUUUUCUCCUCUAGGCUCGCUUCGCUGCCCCCCAGCGGUGGUGCGGCCCGGCCUUGGGACGGACUCCGAGAACCCCGAGCCGGGCCGAAAGUGCGGGGUCCUGACCGCGCCGCAGACGGGGAGCCCUCGCUCGGUCAGAGGAAGAAGAGGGUUAAACCUACCGAGAACGUUCGCUGCCGCUUCCUAGAGUGACGGGCUUGUGGAAUUUUCCGUUUCCGGAGCUGGACCCCGGUGUCCCGAGUGUCCUCCGCUCUGGACGUGCUCGUGAGCUCAGGAGCUGGCAUCUAGGAAACGGGGAGUUCUUCACUCGCAGCGCAGUCGGCCGCGCCAGAAGAGGCGAGGGAGAAUCCGGACGGGGCGGGGCGGCGGGGGAGCGGGACAUUCGCGUCCCGGGGAGCCCCCAGGUCACCCCUGGAUUGCGAGGUGGCUCCGCCUGAGCAGCCCUUCCUGGUGUGGUCGGGGCAGCUGCCCGCCCGGAAAAUGGUCAGGCUCUAGCCCUGGGGAGGAAGAAGCCUUUGCCAAGAGCAACCGUCUACAAGCCCCAAAACCUGCGAGUGCCGGAAAUGUGGACUGACCACAGCCUGCCUCCCCGGCUUCAUUCACCACCAAGGCAGCCCCUCUGGUGACAAGCCUUACCGUUGUCCGGGUUAUGGCAGAAGCUUCCGAUGUGGCUCUGAUCUGGUUAAGCACCACUGGGUACACACCGGUGAAAAGCCGUACUCCUGCCCCGAGUGUGACCAUCGCUUCGGCCCUAUGCCUGUGCCUAGUGUGGUAAGACUUUCAGCGUCAGCUCCAACCUGAUCCAGCACCAGCGCGCUCACACCGCUAAAAGCCUUACCGCUGAGGGGACUGCGGCAAGAGUCUCAGCCUUGGCUCCACCCUGUUGCAGCACCUGCGCUCCACAUGGGUGAGAAGGCCUCUAAGUGCCUUGUUUGUAGUAAGAGUUUUGUGCACAGUUGGAAUCUGCUGCGGCACCAGCACAGUCACAAAGUCCGGAAACCUGAUGCUUGGUGGUGAGUGUGGCCAGACCUUCGGCCACAGCUCCCACCUGCCCAUCCACUAGGCGGCCCACAGCAGCACCCCUGCGUCUGCCUGCAGUGUGGCAGGGCCCUAGCGCAAAGCUCCAACCUGGGCCAGCACCAGCGGACGCACUAGGGCGGCAGCCUCUGCAAAUAGCCCUGGCUUCAAUUUUAGCUGAAACUUCAGCUCUGACUUUGGUUCGGACUUCAAGGAAAUGGAAGGAACCAGGAUCUCUAAGCAGACCCCCUUCUGCUCCCUUAGGGCUGUUGAUUUUAGAGCUAAUGAUGGGAUUCGGUUGGGGCGAGGGGGUCUCCACAUCUUUUUGCCCAACCCUUUGCUAAGUCAAGGAACCCCAGUCUGGGCUGGGCAUGAGCCACCACGCCCGGUAAUUUUGCCAUCUUUUAUCAGGCUUUCUGUGUCGAGGACGCUACCCACAUAGAGUAGAACCUAAAGGGAAGGGAUGUGAAGUGACCUCACCCUCAGCUUCUAGCUCAUGGUGUCAAGGCUUGUGUGAUCUUAGACACGUCUGCCUCUUCUGAGCCUGUUUCUUCAUCUGUAAAACAGGGAUGGGAGGUUGUGGUAAAGAUUCCACAGCAACACUGCACACGCAUGAAGUACCUGGGCCAGGGAUGACUCGGCAGACCUCAGUUUCCCUCUGCCUCCUGCCUAGAGCUGUUAGCAAGCAUCCAUCAUGCGGCUCACACAAGAGCUCCCCCCGGAGGUUACAGAAAUGAAGGCAGCAGCCCCAGUCCUUGGGUAGCCUGUUUCCCCUUGAAGGAAACAGACUCAAUAUCAGCAACACAGAGUGAAUGACGCCAGGGUGGCGAACGGGCCUUUCCUGGAGCAAAUGCGGGAGGCUUCAUGGAGAUGACGUGUAAUGAACAGCACUCAUCUCAGGCUGGGAGCAGCACAUGCCCCCGGCAGGGAGUCAGUGAUGAGGUAUGGGGUUCUUGACAUCUUCCUCACCCAGGACCCUUCAGAGAGUACGAGCCAGGGUUUGAGUGAAGGGCCUGAGCCCAGCACAUGCAUGGUAGGCACUCAAAGAAUAAUUGUCAUGAUCAGGUCCUUUUUACACUGCUUACUAGUGGCCUUUAAGCCUCAGUUUCCUCACAGUUGCCUUGAGUGAGUGUCAAGUGUUGUAGACCUCUGCAAAAUUCAUAACUGCUUAAGAAUAUUAGGUAUGGGUAGAGUAGGCUUGGAAGGAGGAUUGGUUUGCAGAAUCCCUUUCAGAGACCUGUAAUCUAAUUUCUCACAUUAGGGCUAAUACUCCUGGGACCCCUCUCCUCUCCAAUUGCAUAAAACAGGUUCUGACCAGAACAGCGAGGCAGGCCAGACCUCAGAAGCAGAGGGACGGGCUUAAUCUAACAGGAGUUUAUCCCAUGUCCUGCAUCCACUGUACCCUGUGCUGGGUUUAGAAGUAGCUUCACUGUCCAAGCUUGUGACCCAGUGCCCAAGCCCGAGAUGGGAAACACAUUUGUUUUGGCUGUGUGUGUGUGUGUGUGUGUGUGUGUGUGUGUGUGUGUGUGUUUUCAAACAAGCCAAGAUUUUUACUUUUUGAGUUCCAUUUUGUUGCCCAGGCUGGUCUCUGAAACUUCCAGGCUCAAGCAAUCCCCCUGCCUCAGCCUCCCAAAAUGCUGGAAUUACAGGUGUGAGCUACCAUGCCCAUUUAUUUAUUUAUUUAUUUAUUUAUUUAUUUUUGAGACAGAAUCUCACUCUGUCAUCCAGGCUGGAGUGCAGUGGUGCAAUUGUGGCUCACUGUAGCCUCAACCUCCUGGGCUCAAGUGAUCCUCCCACCUUAACCUCCCAAGGAGCUGGGACUACAGGCAUACACCACCACACCUGGCUAAUUUUUUGAUUUUUAAAAAAUGUUUUGUAGAGACGGGGUCUCACUGUGUUGCCCAGGCUGGUCUUGAACUCCUGAGUUCAAGUGUUCCUCUGGUCUCAGCCUCCCAAAAUGCUGGGAUUACAGAUGUGAGCCACCUAACCUGGUCUUUUUAUUUUUUUAAAGAGCCAACAUUUAAAUAAGGAGAUUUCACAUCACAGUCGAUUUCUGGGGCUUGGUUUGUUGUUGUUUUUUUUGUUUUUUUUUUUUUUUAAUUGAGACAGGAUCUUGCCAGGUUGCAGACUGGUCUUGAACUCCUAGGCUCAAAUGAUCCCCUCCUGGCCGGGCACGGUGGCUCACGCCUGUAAUCCCAGCACUUUGGGAGGCCUAGGUGGGCGGAUCACGAGGUCAGGAGAUCGAGACCUUCCUGGCUAACAAGGUGAAAUCCUGUCUCUACUAAAAAUACAAAAAAUUAGCUGGAAAUGGUGGCAGGCGCCUAUAGUUCCAGCUACUCAAGAGGCUGAGGCAAGAGAAUGGCAUGAACCCAGGAGGCAGAGCUUGCAGUGGGCGGAGAUCCUGUCACUGCAAUCCAGCCUGGGUGACAGAGCAAGACUCCGUUUCAAAAAAAAAAAGAAAAGAUCCCCUGCCCCGGCCCUUCCCUCCCCCACCCACCUCGGCUUCCGAAAGUGGUAGGAUUACAGGCGUCAGUCACCACACCCGGCCUGCUUUAUUAUUUAUAUCAGAAGAUGCUGCAACAUUGGAUUUUUAUGGCAGCAGUUCGUUGAGUAGUGGCUGUCCUGGACAUAGGAACAGGGACACUCCCUCUUGCAUCCCUGACUCAGCACGUUUCAUAUGUGUUACUUGCCUGUCCCCUGCAGAAAAGUACUUGAGGUUACAGUCUCCAUCCCACCCCACUGUGGGUGAGAAGGACCUUUCCAUGCAGUGAAGGCACUUUUCCCCUUUCCUUCACCCCUUCCUGUUCCCUUCUCUGCCGUUUUCCUUCUUCUCCCCCAGAACUCCUCUGUGAAAUACCUGGCCUCCUUCCCUGAGCCUCCCUGUCUCCCUGCCACCCCAUCUCCACUCCGUGCUAUGACAUCACCCCGUAAUUUGAAGCUCCUUUCCCUAUCUGAAGGGAGGCAGAGACAGAGUGCACAGGCUCAACUAGGCAAGGCAGACCCUUGCAUGCCUGGGUCAGAGGUCAGGGUCUCUGGCACACAUUCCUCCCAGAGCAACUGUAGGAAGCAAGCCAGUACAGAGGUACUCUAAGCGCUAGACAGGACGGGGUGGGAGUCGGUAACAUCGUCUCCUCUGGGCUGGCCCUGCUUCUGCUUAGCUCUGGGCAUAAGACUGACUCCAGUACAGUCACAGUUAUGUCUCUGAGCUCACCCAGUCCUGGGUUCCAGGUUCCCAGCUCUGAGCCUGGCGAGACACACACAGGCUGGUGCUG